AAAACUAAACUUGAUUAGCAACUUUUAUGUCAAUGAGCAAAUUGUUUAAAGAAUAAAAAACGGAUAAACAUCAACGAUUAUGCUUUAAUUCGAUUUCGAUGCAGUGACAAUAUAUUUUAUACGAUUUUAGUUCAAAUUAAUUCGAUCCUUGAUGGCGCAGCUGUGACGGAGCUGAAAACAUUAAUUGAUAUUAAAUAAUUAUUAAACUAAUUCAUAUAUUUGAUGAAAAAUUUAAAAUAUAAAAAAGUGAAGUAACGGGCUGUAAAUUUCCUAUUGCUAAUGUCUCCUUUUUGAGGAAAAAGGCUUGUGGAACAUGUGGCAGAAAUACCUCCGACACAUACAAGUUACAAUAUUUUACUUAACUACAAAGCACGAGAUGAAUAACAAACACAAAAUAAGCAUAAAAAGUUCAGUGUUUCUCUGGGCUUGAACCUGCAAUGUUCUAUUACGAUUCACGUGUUCUAGCCAUUGGGACAUCCCGACUUGAAAUAUUAAACUAAGCAAUUAAACCAAUUACUGAUAGGCGGGUGUGUAUGAAGCUUAUGGAUUAGUCGAUUUAUAAUACUGAAGAUUCUAUUCAAAUUGAUAUGUCACUGACGAUAACUCGGAGUUUGGUACAAGGUUUGACGAUAUACGCAAGGUGGCUGGCAGCGGUUGGAGAUUAAGAGCUGAAAAUCGAGCUCAGUGGCGUGCCAUUGGUGAGACCUAUGUCCAGCAGUGGACGCGAAAAGGUUGUUAUUACCUGGGCUUGAACCUGCGAUAAUCGGUUAAGAUUCACGCGUCCUAACCACUGGGCUACCUAGGCAUGGCCAUAAGGUAAAAAAAGGUUUAUUAAAUAAAUUGAUAUAAAAAAGGAUA